rnacentral:rRNA from 1 species
UACGUAGGGGGCAAGCGUUGUCCGGAUUUAUUGGGCGUAAAGAGCGUGUAGGCGGCCAUACAGGUCUGCUGUGAAAACUCGAGGCUCAACCUCGAGACGUCGGUUGAAACCGUGUGGCUAGAGUCCGGAAGAGGAGAGUGGAAUUCCAGGUGUAGCGGUGAAAUGCGUAGAUAUCUGGAGGAACACCGGUGGCGAAGGCGGCGUUCUGGACUGCAACUGACACUGAGAGACGAAAGCCAGGGGAGCAAACGGG